UACGGAGGGUGCAAGCGUUAAUCGGAAUUACUGGGCGUAAAGCGCGCGUAGGCGGCUGGAUAAGUCGAUUGUGAAAGCCCCGGGCUCAACCUGGGAAUUGCAGUCGAGACUGUUCGGCUAGAGUGUGGGAGAGGGUGGUGGAAUUCCCGGUGUAGCGGUGAAAUGCGUAGAUAUCGGGAGGAACAUCAAUUGCUAAGGCGACCACCUGGCUCAACACUGACGCUGAGGUGCGAAAGCGUGGGUAGCAAACAGG
rnacentral:rRNA from 1 species